rnacentral:sRNA from 1 species
GAAAAAUUUUGCUAUUAUUCUUGUGGUGGGAUCGCGUAUGGGCAUGACGGUGUAACCGUCAGGCAUUAGCCUCCCAUGCGCGACAAACAGGCUCCUCUCAGGGGCCUUUUUUUAUGCCCAAAA